UGGGUGCAUUUUGGCUGGCUCCUUUGUGCAGGUGACAUCGGGGCGCCGCACGAGUUUGCUGGUCCAAGAGGCGAAAUCCGUGACAAAGCCGCGUCAAUCACCAGUCGUCACCCCCAACUCAAAAGGGGAAGGAAUGGCGAAGAGAAGAACGCAGGGAAUAAUGGUCAUAUUUUCCCAAGAAAAGCAGAUAAUGAAAGAAAGAGAAAGUGAACAAGAAAUAGAAGCAGGUGGAGAAGGCCAUUAGAGGCGAUGAUGCUCCUCCUCCAACCCGCCGAUGUCCGCUCCGCCAUGGCGGUGGAAGCGGCCACAUCCUGCUAUCACACAGCGGUCCCCCCCGAGGCCGCGGCGGGAGGAGAGGCGAGCAAGCCGCGUACGGCCCGUCUUGGCCCUGGCCGAUGCCUCCACCGUGAAGGAUGACAAGAAGCCCGCUGUGCGCGCCGCCGACGAGCUCCAUCACGCGCCGGUUCCGGGCACCGAAUGGAAGCUCGCCCUCAUGCGUUACACCCCCUCCACUGAGGCGCCGUUGAGGAGCCAUCCUUUGAUGCUUUUGUCAGGGGUGGGGACGAAUGCGAUCGGGUUUGAUCUGUCUUCUGGGAUGUGCUGUAUAUGGUGAAUGUCUUGGAAACAGAACCUCAGUGAUGCAUUCAAAAGCCGUGCAAUCUUUUCUUUAUAUUUCCUCUAUUUUUAGGUCUUGGUUCCAUAUCCAACGGGGGUUCUCCCAGGUUUUGUUUGAUGGUGGCGAUCCGUGCCCUUGAUAUGAAGGCUCCUGCGCGGGCGUGGUGGCCAAGAUUUUCAGGGCCUAAAUGUCUAACCUUGGUUCAUGGGAGGUUCACUUUCAACCAUUUAACUUUAAACAGACUAGCAAAAGAGAGUUGCUGAGGUACACAAGUAGUAAGAUGUGGUUUCUUUCGUAAAUAGCCAUGGUUAAUGGUUGCUCCUGCUUCCAGAAUCUGCUUGGUGCCUACAACAGUUCCCCUGGAUUUGGCAGGAUCAUUCAUGUUGGUGUAUGUAUUGUGUUCCGACCUAUGUAGGUCCACUACGCAAGUCAUUUGAGUAGGAAAUAUCAUUCGGAUGUAAACAGAUAGCAACUAGAUGACGCUGUUUGGUUGAAAAAUGAAGAAAGGAAAUUUUAGGUA